rnacentral:rRNA from 1 species
GCGCAGCAGGCGCGAAAACUUUACAAUGUGCGAAAGCACGAUAAGGGAACUCUGAGUGCCUCCUAAGGGGGCUGUUCAGGUGUCUAAAAAGCACCUGGAGUAAGGGCUGGGUAAGACCGGUGCCAGCCGCCGCGGUAACACCGGCAGCCCCAGGUGGUAGCCACUUUUAUUGGGUCUAAAGCGUCCGUAGCCGGUUGAGUAAGUUCCUUGGGAAAUUUGGCUGCUCAACAGUCAAGCUUCCAGGGAAUACUGCUCGACUUGGGACUGGGAGAGGUCAGAGGUACUCCAGGGGUAGGGUGAAAUCCAAUUAAUCCCUGGGGGACCACCGGUAGCGAAGGCGUCUGACCAGACCAGGUCCGACGGUGAGGGACGAAGGCUAGGGUCGCGAACCGGAUUA